UACGGGGGGGGCAAGCGUUGUUCGGAAUUACUGGGCGUAAAGGGCUCGUAGGCGGCCAACUAAGUCGGACGUGAAAUCCCUCGGCUUAACCGGGGAACUGCGUCUGAUACUGGAUGGCUUGAGUUCGGGAGAGGGAUGCGGAAUUCCAGGUGUAGCGGUGAAAUGCGUAGAUAUCUGGAGGAAUACCGGUGGCGAAGGCGGCAUCCUGGACCGACACUGACGCUGAGGAGCGAAAGCCAGGGGAGCAAACGGG
rnacentral:rRNA from 1 species